CCUCUGUCCAUGGAAUUUUCCAGGCAAGAAUACUGGAAUGGGUUGCCAUUUAGUAAAUGUUUAAGGCUUUAUGGCCAUACCGUCUCUGUUUCAACUGUGUAACUACUCUGCCUCUGCAGCAAAUAGUAGUUUGCUCUUAACUCCCCUAACAUGGGGUGUUAGGGUGAACAGCAUGGGGUGUUACGGUCACCAACACUCCCUGGCAGUCAAAUUCUGUGAGUAACUUCCUCUGUAUAUAUGUGAGCUUCCACUGUAGCUUGUAGAUCGUAUUGAGUGGUUUUGAAUCUGAGGAUUUAACCAACAGCAGACCGUGUAGCACUGUAGCAUUUCAUAUUUUUAAAAAAUCUACAUAUUAAGUGAACCCAGGCAGUUCAAGCCCAUGUUAUUCAAGGGUGAAAUGUACUUUAGAAUGAAUAGGUAUAGCUAUGUUCCAAUGAGACUAUUUACAAAAACAAGCAGACUUCUGGAUUUAGCUUGUGGUUUGUUAACUACUGCUAUAUGGCCUCAGAGACUUCUGCAUUUACUUAGUGGCUGAGCACAAAGAAGGCAUAUCUGCUUCAUGCGGCCAGAAAUGACAAACAGCAUUUUCUUUACUGUAUCACUGGUGAAAAGGAAGCCCCAACUAGGUAAAAGUCCGCCAGGGUUGGGGAGGUUGGGAGGCUGGGAAGUGUAGUCCUUAGCUGGACAGGGAGCACCCACAACCCUCAAGCAGGGAGGAUGAAGGUGGGGGUUGGGGUUGUGAUUAGCUGUCUCCAUCACAGACUGUAUUCUCCUGGAGUUUCUUUUUCCAUCAACGUAUUUAUUCUAUAAUAAUCAUAUAAGGUUACCAUAUACUAUCUAAUAGGAUUUUUUUUUAAAGAUCUAGAACACCUCUUUUUUUUUCCCCCAAAUACAAUCUUAAGAGAAAACCUAGUAUAUAUAAAACACCAAAGUAGAAGCACUCUAGGAUUGAAGCAGGAAUGCAUAUGUGGAUGUGGGGAGGAAUAGAGUAUUAGCAACUCAGCUUUUCCCUUGACAGUUGUUGGUCUUGGGGGUGCUUCUGUGGGAAACAUGCAAUCAUAAUGACAAGAUUAAUGCUAUUAUAAUAUCAUACAGUCCAUAACGUAAUAAAAAUCCUCAUUUCAAGGGUAAUUCACUGAGUUACUGUUUAUUUUAAUUCACCUGAAAUUUUACUCCUUUCCAAUUACUCUUUACUUUGAGUAACUAAAAUCUCUCUAGGAUACCAUUUAUGGGGCUAUUAAGGAAUUUAUUAUAAUAAGGGACUUGACUCAUUCUUUUCCUUGUCUGCUUCUUCUGCUUAACGUAAGUUGAAAAUAUUUUGAAUUUUCAAUUUCCUGUAGAAAAAUCAAAGAUAUUAAGCUACUCUUAAUCUCUUUAUACCCACCACUGCUUCAAACACAUAAAAGGAUAUUCUAGUAUUAAAUCAGGUUUGAACUUUCUGUUCUUUCACUUUUUUUUUUUUUGCUUCAGAGUAAUGAAUUUCCUUUUAGGAUUCCAGCUUUAUUAAGAACACCAUCUUUAGAAGACAUAUGACAUAUGGUGGCACUAUUCUUAGAUGAAAUAAAGAUACGACUAAAAUUUCCCUGGGACAGGUUUUAUCAUAAAAAAUGAAAAUGUCGGCCUAAAUGAAGACUACUGGCAAGGGGAGGGGUUGAAGCCUUUCAGGAGAAUGUGAUGCUUCACUAUUGCAUGAUCGUACUACGUAUAUAGCCAAUUCCUAUUUAUUGAGCACACACUCUGCAAAGCAGCCUGAGAUGAAGGACAUAAGAAACCUUUAAUCUAGUAGGAAGGACAAAACGAAUAAUAAUACCUUAUACGCAGAUAGCUGUUGAGUUGAUGAAACAAAAAGAGCCACCAUGAAAAAACCAUUUGGUGAGAAACGUACAAAGCGGCGUAUGCAUACGCGUAUGUGUUUAUCCGUUCAUUCUGUAACUCAUUCACUCACCAAAUAGUUAUGCAGUGGCUACUAAAGGUGCUGUGCUGCAUACUGAAGCGGUGGAGAUGAGCACGGGCCUGCUGGCUUCACAGCAGUCCCUGUGAGUCCGCUCACUGGUUGGACCAGCAGCAGCAUCACCAGGGAAUUCAUCAGGAUGUUCUCAAGCCCCAUCUCUUUUUUUUUUCAUAAUUUUAUUUAUUUUUGGCUGUGCUGGGUCUUCACUGCUGUGCAGGUUUCUCUCUAGCUGUGGCAAGUGGAGGCUCCUCUCUCACUGUGUUGUGCAGCCUUCUUCUUGCAGGAGCUUUUCUUGUUGCAGAGCACGGCUCGAGGGUGCUCGGGUCUCCGCAGUUGCGGCUCAUGGGGUCUAGAGCACAAGCUCAGUAGUUGCGGCACACAGGCUGAGUUGCUCGGGGCACGUGCGAUCUUCCCGGACCAGGGAUUGAACCCCUGUCUCCUGCACUGGCAGUCGGAUUCUUUACCACUGAGCCACCUGGGAAGCUUGCAAGCCCCAUCUUUACAGGUGGAGAAGUUAAUUGCAUGCUGCCCACAAGAAGGCAGACCCCAGACCAGUUGGAACCAGAAGGCUGAUGAUGCUGACUCUGGAUUACCUCUCCACCAGCCACUCAGAAGGACGUCCACAAGCGGACCAUGCCCUGAUCCUUGAACACCAUGAUUCCUCACUACCCCUACUAGGGCAGGACACCCAGUCUUGAGGGCAUUUGCCCGCUAUGACCCCCUUUGCCUGGCCCAGCAAUAAAGCUAUUUUUGUUUUA